UACAUGGGGUGCAAACGUUGCUCGGAAUUAUUGGGCGUAAAGCGCGCGUAGGCGGUUACUUAAGUCGGAUGUGAAAGCCCUCGGCUUAACUGAGGAAGUGCAUCCGAAACUGAGUAGCUAGAGUACGAAAGAGGGUCGCGGAAUUCCCGGUGUAGAGGUAAAAUUCGUAGAUAUCGGGAGGAACACCGGUGGCGAAGGCGGCGACCUGGGUCGAGACUGACGCUGAUGCGCGAAAGCGUGGGGAGCAAACAGG
rnacentral:rRNA from 1 species